GUAGUCCACGCCCUAAACGAUGAGAACUAGGCGUUGGGAAGCUCAGCUUCUUAGUGCCGCAGCUAACGCGUUAAGUUCUCCGCCUGGGGAGUACGGCCGCAAGGCUAAAACUCAAAGGAAUUGACGGGGGCUCGCACAAGCGGUGGAGCAUGUGGUUUAAUUCGAUGCAACGCGAAGAACCUUACCUACCCUUGACAUGUCAGGAAUCUUUCAGAGAUGAGAGAGUGCCUUCGGGAACCUGAACACAGGUGCUGCAUGGCUGUCGUCAGCUCGUGUCGUGAGAUGUUGGGUUAAGUCCCGUAACGAGCGCAACCCUUGUCCUUAGUUGCUACCAGUUCGGCUGAGCACUCUAAGGAGACUGCCGGUGAUAAACCGGA
rnacentral:rRNA from 1 species